UCAGGAAACACAAUAAACAAAACUAAGAAACACAAGAAAAUACACAAAGGACUACAACACAAGACAUGGAUCACUAAUAACACAAGGAAGAUGUAGGAUGACUAAAACAGAAAACAGACAGGGAGGAAACAAGAUCCACUUCACAAGGCAUACUUGUUUCCCGAUAGCUUUGAGCAAAUCAAGCUCCCAAACUGCCAACUGUUGUAUCCAACACAGAGCCGGAGCUGUCACUCACGAUCACAUGUGCCACUGGACACCUGCCAUGGAGAGAUUGAGAGACAAUGGACGGAAAGCUGCAGGCAUUGUUCUUUAUGCAAAGAAGAGUUUGGAGUGCAGAUGAUCAAUGGGUGCCCUUGGAUCCGGCCCUGGUGUACACUUGCCAAGCCCAGUCGACCCAGUCCCAUUGUAAUCAUACAGUACUGUGGGAUGGGAAUAAUUUCUUAGAGAGCACGCUACAGUGAAAUCAAAGCAAUUACUCAAAAAAGCUCACCAUUCAACCAAAGUGGCAUCCGCAUCCAAGACUCUGAUCCUGCUGCAUUUUCAGAGCAGUGAGAAGAAAAAGAGAUUCUUGAAGGCAAAAAAAAUCAUAAUAAGCAAGUAAAAGUUUCAGUUCUUAGACUCUUUUCAAAAAUGUACCCUUUUAAAACACUCUGCCCUCGCUUUCAUGAGCAUUGCGAUCAGACAGCACAUUUGUCAUAAUUCUCUCAAUUGCAGCAAGGCUGAACAAGAUUAAAUGAAAGCUAAUAAGACGUAAAUCAGUGUGCAGCCUUCACUUUUAUACCUAUUCAUUGUUAAGUCAAUUUGGCAUCUAUAGUUUGUGUAGCAAUUUCUGUCCUCCAUCCAUCACUGGCUCAUCUCAGUCCUCGGCAACCAUCAAGGGACGGCUCUAAUUUGCUGGUGUAAUUAACAGAUAAUGCAUGUCAGCAUUUGAAGGUGUCAGUGGAGUUCAUGUGCGCACCUUAAUCACAGGAUGACUACUUUGAUGCUGUGGGAGACAUUGACAGAGCUACCUUUAUUUCUUUUUCUGCUUGCUGCACAGGAAGGAGCAAUAAAUUAGCCUGCUCAGAUGAACAGUCCAGCUUCAAGGACAAACCCUUGACUCUUACGUUUUUCUUUUCAUUUUGCUGAUUGUUGUUGGGGUGUAAAAAGGAGGAAAAAAUACAAAUAGAAUAUGCCAUACUGCCUACUAUAUACAUAAAGAAGAGAAAAACAACAACAGCAACCUGUUCAGUGUACUGAAGGUCAUAAACAACCACUUAUCCAUGGAAACGUGGUUGUCAGACUGAUGUAAAGAAGUUUGUGCUGACUUUGUUCUCUACACAGUAAAUUACACUAUGCAGCUGUCUGCCUCCCACACACUUGCCCUGCUUGACUAAACUGCCAAUCUUCAUGAUUGACUUGCUUUAAAAAAAAAGAAGUAAUUCACUUAUUCACUCCUCCAUCCUGUCAAUGAGACUAAAUGCAUACCUGUUAAUUGCUGAAAUCUUUACCUCACACCAAUGAAUAAUGCAGAGAGAAUUUAAACCCAUCCAGCA